rnacentral:rRNA from 1 species
CCUACGGGAGGCAGCAGUCGAGAAUAUUUCACAAUGGGGGAAACCCUGAUGCUGCGACGCCGCGUGGGGGAAUGAAGGUCUUCGGAUUGUAAACCCCUGUCAUGUGGGAGCAAAUGAAAAAGAUAGUACCACAAGAGGAAGAGACGGCUAACCCUGGGCCAGCAGCCGCGGUAAUACAGAGGUCUGAAGUGUUGUCCGGAAUCACUGGGCGUAAAGCGUUCGGAGGCUGUUGCGUAAGUCGGGAGUGAAAGGCGCGGGCUCAACCCGCGGACGGCACAUGAUACUGCGAGACUAGAGUGUAGGAGGGGUAAGCGGAAUGCUCGGUGUAGCGGUGAAAUGCGUAGAUAUCACGAGGAACACUCGUGGCGAAGGCGGGUUCCUGGACCUUAACUGACGCUGAGGCACGAAGGCCUGGGGAGCGAACAGGAUUAGAUACCCGAGUAGUC